AAGUCGAUGUGUUCUUGAAUACCGAAGCCAAAGUUACCGGUAGCAGAAAAGUUGCGCUUUUUCAACUCAUACUCCUUGACCUUGAGACCACGCUCCAAAAUCUCCUCAGCUUUGGGACCACGAACGGUGACAUGGCAAGCAAUCUUUUCAUUACGACGAAUACCAAAACGACGGAUGGUAUAACGAGCCUUGGAAAAAACAGGAGUUUGACCAGAGAGCUGUUCCAAAACCUUGGCGGCACGAGUAAGACGAUCACCCGAUUCACC